CACGUAGGGGACGAGCGUUGUCCGGAUUCAUUGGGCGUAAAGCGCGCGUAGGCGGCCCUCUAAGUCAGACGUGAAAUCCCUCGGCUCGACCGGGGAACUGCGUCUGAGACUGGAAGGCUUGAAUUCGGGAGAGGGAUGUGGAAUUCCAGGUGUAGCGGUGAAAUGCGUAGAUAUCUGGAGGAACACCGGUGGCGAAGGCGGCAUCCUGGACCGAGAUUGACGCUGAUGCGCGAAAGCCAGGGGAGCAAACGGG
rnacentral:rRNA from 1 species